rnacentral:rRNA from 1 species
UUCCGGUUGAUCCCGCCGGAGGGGACCCCUAGCGGGCUCGCACUAAGCCAUGCAAGUCGGCUGGAGGCCAUUCCGCCCCUGGCGGCGCACGGCUCAGUAAUACACGGUCAACCUACCCUGGGGACCGGGAUAACCUCGGGAAACUGAGGCUAAUCCCGGAUAGGGGCCGGGUACUGGAAUGUCCCGGCCUCGAAAGUAGGCGGGGGGAGCCCCGCUGAGGCCCCAGGAUGGGACCGUGGCCUAUCAGGUAGUAGGUGGGGUAACGGCUCACCUAGCCUGAGACGGGUGCGGGCGGUGGGAGCCGGAGCCCGGAGAUGGGCACUGAGACAAGGGCCCAGGCCCUAAGGGGCGCAGCAGGCGGGAAACUUCCGCAAUGCGCGAAAGCGUGACGGAGUGAGCCCGCGUGCCGCUCGCUGAGGGCGGCUGUCCCCGGGUGUAAACAGCCCGGGACAGGAAGGGGAGGGCAAGGCUGGUGCCAGCCGCCGCGGUAAAACCAGCUCCUCGAGGGGUCCCCACGCAUACUGGGCCUAAAGCGUCCGUAGCCGGCCCCGCAAGUCCUCGGUUAAAUCCACCGGAAGACCGGUGGGCUGCCGGGGAUACUGCGGGGCUAGGGAGCGGGAGGGGCCGGGGGUAUUCCGGGGGGAGCGGUAAAAUGCGUAGAUCCCCGGAGGACCACCGGUGGCGAAGGCGCCCGGCUGGAACGCGUCCGGCGGUGAGGGACGAAAGCUGGGGGAGCAAACCGGAUUAGAUACCCGGGUAGUCCCAGCCGUAAACGAUGCCGGCUAGGUGCCGGCCGAGGUUUCGGCCUCGGCCGGUGUCGAAGCGAAGGCGUUAAGCCGGCCGCCUGAGGAGUACGGCCGCAAGGCUGAAACUUGAAGGAAUUGACGGGGGGGCACCACAAGGGGUGAAUGCCUGCGGCUUAAUUGGAGUCAACGCCGGG